UGAGCGUCAGAGCUGUGUUGGCAUUG
rnacentral:piRNA from 1 species